rnacentral:lncRNA from 1 species
CCCGGCGUCGUCUUCUUCAAGCACCCCCACCCCCCGACUCCAUCUUCUCCAACAACCCCUUCCAUAACUUUAUCUUCUUCGUGAGACAAACCAAACAACACCCCUGCUCUCUUCAUCAACCCCAUAUACCAAUAGCCCCCAAACUUGGAACAACCCAGCUCGCCGGAAAAAAUGCCAACGACCCCUGAACGUUAAUCAUCAAACGACCCCAUCUCUGCCUGAAACUCGCCGGAAAAACGAGCUCCACCAGCUCGUCGGAUUAACGAGUUCCAGACGUGACCCCUUCUUCAAGAGACCAAACCAUCUUCUUCAUCACCAGAGCUGGCAGGGAGUCCAAUGACAACUUUCGAGCUCUAGAGCUAACGAACAAAGGCGCUGAAAAUAGUGAGGAGUUAAAAAACUCGUUUAACACCCUUUUCCGGUGAGUCUCGAAUUUCUGGUUGAGCUUCGAUGACUGAAUUUCGACAAUCGUUUCCCUUGGUUCCUUGUCGAGGUCCGUUCACUGGUUCCGUUUAGUUCAAAGGUCGGAUAGCUAUUCUUCAAGUUGAAAUUUAGAGUUGUUCAUUGUUGAUUGCCAGAUUUGUUGGCUGCUGUUGGCUGAGCUUCGAUUUCAAGUAGGUUAGUGCCAAGUUCCUUGUAUUAUAUUUUCAUCAAAUGAGGAAAAUGAUUGAAUUUGUGUUGAAUUUCCGUGGCCCUCUUCAGAUUGAAAUUUCUGUUGCUCUAAGGUGUG